UAGGCAUUCAAGGGAUCCUUAAAAGUUUGAAUAGUGAUAAACUGACUUAAAAAGUAAAAACUCAACAGAGCUUUACAUUUCCCUUACCCUCGUUCUUAAGUGUAGAAGUUGUGACAAAAGAGAAACUGCAUUCAAUCUCAUAUGACUGAGAGAGGAGCUCCAUGUGAAAUGUAGCAAUUGAACUCAAGCAGUUUUAACGUUAUUUGACAAAAUUCUUGGCCAAAGUGAAUAUUCCCAAGGUUAGUACAAUUUUAUAGUCAUAGUUUCUUGGUAUGUAUUUUUAUCCAGAUUAAUUUGAAGGUAGCCUCAACCUAUGAAUUGAGGUAGAGAAUAAAAGGUGAGGUUGCAAUUUGGCAUGGUUCAAAUUUGAAAUAUGUGCAACAUAACUGAAUGUGGAGGAACCAUGUAACUUUUUGCUAUUACUUUCACUGAAAAUGAAGCUUAAGUGUUCAAAAUGCUUCCUUUCUAUACAUAAGUGCUUGUUAAUCUUUAAGUAUUCUUCGAGUCAUCAUUAUGAAAGCUUUAUAUCCAUACCUGAUUGUUAAUUGUAAAUAGACUCACUAGCAUGAACCUUCUCUGAACAUCAGUGAUCAUUUUACAUAUAUUUUGUUAUGAUCAGCCUACCUCCUAUGAAUUAGAUUGUAGCUAUGUCUGCUAUAGUUGAAUGCUAACUAUUUUUGUAACUUCAAUACAACACCACCAUGUCUGGACAUUAACCUUAGUCUGAACAUAUGAGUUUCCCCUAUUCUUAAACCCUUAAUGAUACUGACAAUCUGGUUUUGUAAUGGUUCAGACUCAUCCUAUCUUGUGAGGUCAAACAUUAACCUUAGUCUGAACAGAUGAGUUUCCCCUAUUCUUAAACCCUUAAUGAUGACAAUCUGGUUUUGUAAUGGUUGAGACUCAUCCUAUCUUGUGAGGUCAUAACUUUGGUUGAAAUCUCUAUAUGUGUGGAUGAGUAAAAGUUUGGCAUAUAUCUUUGCUUAUCCCUCAUGACUUCAUACUUUUGAACAUUAUUUGAAACAAUGCUCAAUUCUCUCUUUCCAUGUUAAUCUUCUUAUCCUGCAUGACUUCAUACUUUUGAACACUAUUUUGAAACAAUGCUCAAUUCUAUCUUUCCAUGUUAAUCUGAAUUGACUCUGGAUUUGGAGAAACCUAUUAUUGUUACUGAUUGAGCACAAUAACCUGCCUAUGUCAUUAUCUGAAUCUUUACCGAUGUUUUCAAAAGGUCCCAAGUAGUAUUGUUCACAUAUGUGAGGGUUAAUGACAAGGUCUGAUGCUAAACUAAUAUGUGAACAGUCUAUUGACGCAAUAACAUCUGUAUCCCAAAGCUGUUGCAACUCUAAACUGUGUACUAUUCAUCUAUCUUUGAGAUGUUUGAUUCCAAUUGUUAGGUUCUUUAGUAAAAACAGUAUGAUGUUCCAGCCUAUGUGUGUAAUUAGAAAUUUGAGCUUCAUGUAUGUCUAUGUUAAUCAAUCACCUAGAACUGGAAGUAUUGUUGUAAGAAAUGGGAACUGUUCUUGUGUUCUUCAUAUUAUCCUGUUAAGAAGUUGGUAUUCUCUUUGCAAAUUUAGUAUACGGGCAUGUGUUCUUCUUUGCUAGCCCUCUGUAAUUCAUAUGUCGACACGCAUUUCACCUCAAAUGAAUUCUGUUAAGAGUUAUUGAAAGCUACUCUAUCUUUAAUAUGCAUUUCAACUCAAUAAGUUUAUAUGUAUGUCUAUGUUAAUCAAUCACCUAGAACUGGAAGUAUUGUUGUAAGAAAUGGGAACUGUUCUUGUGUUCUUCAUAUUAUCCUGUUAAGAAGUUGGUAUUCUCUUUGCAAAUUUAGUAUACGGGCAUGUGUUCUUCUUUGCUAGCCCUCUGUAAUUCAUAUGUCGACACGCAUUUCACCUCAAAUGAAUUCUGUUAAGAGUUAUUGAAAGCUACUCUAUCUUUAAUAUGCAUUUCAACUCAAUAAGUUUAUCGAUUUGGGACAUUCCUGAUUUGCACAUUGAGAUCAUCUCCUGUAUGAAAGGUAUUCUUGUGUAUUCAGUCAAUUAACAUCUCUGUUUGAAAGUACAUGACAUUUGGUGUUUUGUUUCUUUUAUUAGUUAGAAGAUCAACCAUAUAGGUAAGGUCUAGGAUGACUGUUUCAUUGCUUUCUAGUAUAUUUAGCUGGCUUAAUUGAGUUUGAACCUGGAUAAUUGACAAAGUUAGAAUGUCCAUGAUUGUGGUUUAAUGUUGAAUCACACUGAAUGUAUGUGUUCGGAUUUAUUUUGUUUUCCUUCUAUUGUUCGAAAAUCUUUCGGCAUUGUUACUGCUAUAAAGAAUUAUGCUCGUUUGAGCUACUGAAGACAGCCAAUUUGAGCAAUAAAUUGAGCCGACAACCUGCAGUAUAUUUAGAGAAUUGACUAAAAUGUAGAGACCUAAAAUGAUUUUUCUCUUUUUCCAAAUAGGCUAAGGGUGUACAACUGGCCACCCUUCAAUUGUUGUAGCUCCGCUCCUGUCUAUGUAGAGAAUUGACUACAAAAAGUACAAUUGACUGAACUGAUAAUUAGUUGCAUAACAAAUAGUAGAGACCUCUAUUUCUUGGAGAAUAGCACAAUGUCAUAGUUUAUCGUUUGCCAUAUAGGCCUUAUGGGAAAACAAGAAAUCUAGCAUUUUUAACUUUUCACUGAAACAAGAUUGUUAGAGUUCUUUAUUAUGAUAUAAAUAUCAUAAUAAAGAUUGCUAGACUUUUUUUGCUCACUAUGAGUAGGCUGUUGGACACUAUCGAAUCAAUUUGAUUUUAGCAAUUAGGUACAUAUUAAAAUGCACUAACAUUCGAUUGUCUUCGCUUGCAUAUAAAUUUUUGUUAUCAUGGUCGGCUUUGCCAGUAGAAUUGGAUAUGGCUUUCAGUGACUUCUAAGCCAAGACUUAUAUGUCCCGCAAGUUGGUAUAUAGCAUAUAAAUUUCCAUCUGCCUGGCUCCCUGUAUGUGUAUAUAGCAUCCUCAAUUGCUUCAGCUUGAUCCUGUUGUGACUCUUUUCUUCAUCUCUGCAUCUGCUGCAUAUCUGUGUGUUGGUGCCCAUUUUGCUAGCACCAAAAGUUGUUUCCUGCUGCACUUUUUUGUGUGAGAGUGAUUGACUUACUACUGGUGUUGAUAAGGUGUUAGCCUCGACCAUUUUGUGCCUAUCGUUAGUUUCUUUCCGGUGGAAUGAGUUCUAUGCACUAAUACCACCAACUAGAAUUUCACCAACGAGUAGGGAAUAGACACAGCAUUUGGCUGACUUUGGCUGAAUUUGGCUGGAAUUGGGACAAAGGGUAUGGUUAUGCCGUGCAACAUUUGGUUGUUCUUGCUAUAGAGAAAUUUGAGCGUAAUAUGAUGGUUUUGGUUGUUGGGCAGGACUCAAGUGCUGUAAGUGCAUUAUUGCAGUUCAAUGUUUAUUUUUUUUAUGGAAUUUGAAAGGUAUGUUGAAGUGAAGUUCAUUAAUCAAUGCAUUAUCAUCUUAAAAAUGUGAAAAGAAGGCAUAUUCAGACAUGAAAAAUAGUUGUAGAUUUGUGAUUGGUGGUCUAUACUUCCUCAGACACAGGAGCUUGGUUGGCAGGCGGUUAAAAGUUCCUUAACCUCAAUUACACAAGCACUCUUCUUAGAUAGUUAGAUGCUUCGAACUGCAGAUUAGCUGUUUCAAUACUCACUGUUUGAGUCCAAAUGUCAAAUGUGCAUAACAUGGGAGCAAUUUUGUGGGCAUGAUCAACUAGUUCACUUUAGUGGUUAUAAAUUACUAUUCUGUUCUUGAAUUUUAUCAUGUACUAAAUCAGCUAGGAGGCUGCAUGAUAUAUCUAUAGGAAGCUGCAUUAAACUUUCUUAUUUUGGCAUAAUUUUGGGUUUUAACAAACUACAGUGUUGUGGAGCAUAUCUUAUUCUUUUCUUGAUAGGAAAGUUGGAAACUUUGCUAGGAUAACUCAGAAGAGUUAAUUACAAAGUUGAGCUUCUUGAUUAUCUAUCCUUAUUUUUCUUAUCCUGGCCCUAAUAUAUUGGAUGAUAAAUCAGCAGCUGGUUUAUCUAUUCUCUCAUGUGAAUAUGCCUUCUUCCUAAUUGUUGUUGUUGACAUUAAUAUACAUUAUAUAUCUUUA
rnacentral:lncRNA from 1 species